rnacentral:snRNA from 1 species
GUUCUUGCUUCGGCAGCACAGAUACUAAAAUGGGAAUGAUACAGAGUAGAUAAGCAUGGGCCCUGCACAAGGAUGACACGCAACUUUGUGAAGCAUUCCAUAUUUUU